GGCGAGGUGGUCGAGUGGUUAAGGCGAUGGACUGCUAAUCCACUGGGCUGUGCCUGCGUGGGUUUGAGUCCCACCCUCGUCG
rnacentral:tRNA from 1 species